CCUUCAGCAAUGGUAUGUCUUGUGAAUUCGAGUGGGAUCAUUUCAAUUUUUCAGAAACCCAAAUUUUCUAAACAAGACAAAGGAAUGUGUUUGUAAGAUCCUGGCGUCAGAGAUAACUUACCAUAGAGAAACAAAUCAAGGAGUGGUAGCGAGAAGUUGUCACAGCUACUGCGAAGGCGGCGAUACGAAAAAUGGAUUCAGAGCGGGAGCUCUAUGAAGCUUUAAAGGAAAACUUGGAAUCAUCGGGAAGCCUACGCAAAGUGAGAGCCGAAGUAAAAUCAGAAAUAAUGAAAGUUUUCGACACUAAUCCGCAGCCACGGGAUAAACCAGAAUUGCCCGAAAGUCUACUACUUAUUAACAGUUUAAUUCAAGAAUACUUGGAAUGGAAUGGGUACAUGUAUACGUCCCAGAUUUUAGCCGACGAGUCCGGAAUGACAAGCAAGACAUACAGUAGGCAGAGCAUGCAGAAAGAACUACAGGUUUCAGAAGACGAAAAUACUCGAAAACUUUCAGAUUCAAGAAUGCCACCAUAAAUCACAAAUACUAGAGCAAAUAGAAAUGCAAUGCAGAAGAAAGGCCUGCUAUUAGAAGGCCUCUGUUAUGCAGUUUAGUAUCAACAUUCAAGGAGGCUGCAGGUAAAAUAUCGCAGUGACAUUUUGUGUGCAUGAUUAUUAAAUUAUUAGUAGGUUUGUAUUUUUUAAAGAAGAGAUUGGUGUAGCAACAAUUGUUUAAUAAAUAUGUGUACAUUUCUGUGUGUUUUUACAAAAGCAAUUAAAGUAUACUUUGACAUUUA